AAGAAGAGAAACUCCCCUUCCGGUUUUGUCGGUCCAUGCGUGACAAUGCAAACACACGCGGAGAACCUGUCGAUCAAUCCUUGGCCAUCCACUCGAGCAGUGUGACAUCCGAGUGUAAUAUUCACUGACUGAUAUCCUGUGUGCAGUCAUUUCACUUGAUCAGUGGUCAGGUUUUUUGAUUGGGUGAUUCAAAUACCAUCUUAAUUCCCUGGAGCACCUUGUGUGGAGAGGACGACAUCGCCCUUCCAGCCCAGGUGGAUGAGAGGCUCCGCAGUCUCUCCAACUCCAACACCCAUUCCCGAGAUCCAUCGAUCCAAUUCCCAGUGCAUACUGGGUGGCGAGCUACCUUAGAAUCUGGACACUGUGGUGCAGUGUUGACGUCCCCUCCCCCACGGUCUGUGCGGUAGGACAAUACUUAUACAGUGCACUGUUAGCUACAGAGAAACGGGCCCCAACGAACUAAUUAAACAAACUUUGGGAACUUUGAAAAAAGGGUUUCUAUUCUGCCGGCUUUUCUUAUUCUUGUUCAUUGUUUUUCAUAUACUGCAGUUGUUGUAAAUUUCUAUGUGCACUUUUCAAUAUAUGUAUGGCCAUUCAACAUUCAAGUUCAUCGUUGUCUGUGUCAUUAUUGAUAUGCAACACUGGCUCUUAAAAACACUAGGAUUCUUCUGAUACUAGUCCAGUUCGAUAUUUACACCAUUGACUACUACUCACCUGUUUCCUCUAUUACUAGUUCGUAACUAGGGUUACACAUGCACAUAGCGGCACGCACGUACGGGCAAGCGAUCAAAUGUUUGGAAGCCGCAGCUGCGUACUCACAGUACCGCGUCUGCGUAUCCAACUCAAAGUCCUCCUGGUAAGAGUCUCUGUUGUCCCAGUUCUCCACAGGCCAAUGGUAAAGCUUGACUGUCAUCUUUCGGGAAUGUAAACAAUGAAACACCGUGGCUAAGUGUUUGUGUUGCUGCAGCCGGCCGAAAUACACCGCUUCCCACCUACAGCUUUCUUCUUUGCUGUCUCCGUUGUUCAUUGAACAAAUUGUAAAAGAUUCACCAACACAGAUGUCCAGAAUACUGUGGAAUUUUUCGAUGAAAACAGACGACUUAAUAGCUGGCCACAAUGCUGUCCCAAAAUGUCCUCUACAAUUCGUGACGUCCCGCGCAGGCGUCAUCAUACCGAGAUGUUUUCAGCAGGAUAUUUUGCGGGAAAUUUAAAAUUGCACUUUAGUAAUCUAACCCGGCCGUAUUGGCAUGUGCUGCA